UGCUGAGGAGUCCCAAACAGGACGAAACAGCUGUUCA
rnacentral:hammerhead_ribozyme from 1 species